rnacentral:rRNA from 1 species
GACGAACGCUGGCGGCGUGCUUAACACAUGCAAGUCGAACGAAGAGCGAUGGAAGCUUGCUUCUAUCAAUCUUAGUGGCGAACGGGUGAGUAACGCGUAAUCAACCUGCCCUUCAGAGGGGGACAACAGUUGGGAACGACUGCUAAUACCGCAUACGAUCUAAUCUCGGCAUCGAGGAUAGAUGAAAGGUGGCCUCUACAUGUAAGCUAUCACUGUAGGAGGGGAUUGCGUCUGAUUAGCUAGUUGGAGGGGUAACGGCCCACCAAGGCGAUGAUCAGUAGCCGGUCUGAGAGGAUGAACGGCCACAUUGGGACUGAGACACGGCUCAGACUCCUACGGGAGGCAGCAGUGGGGAAUCUUCCGCAAUGGACGAAAGUCUGACGGAGCAACGCCGCGUGAGUGAUGACGGCCUUCGGGUUGUAAAGCUCUGUUAAUCGGGACGAAAGGCCUUCUUGCGAAUAGUGAGAAGGAUUGACGGUACCGGAAUAGAAAGCCACGGCUAACUACGUG